rnacentral:rRNA from 1 species
CCUACGGGAGGCAGCAGUGAGGAAUAUUGGUCAAUGGACGAGAGUCUGAACCAGCCAAGUAGCGUGAAGGAUGACUGCCCGAUGGGUUGUAAACUUCUUUUAUAAAGGAAUAAAACGAGGCACGUGUGCCUUUUUGCAUGUACUUUAUGAAUAAGGAUCGGCUAACUCCGUGCCAGCAGCCUCGGUAAUACGGAGGAUCCGAGCGUUAUCCGGAUUUAGUGGGUUUAAAGGGAGCGUAGAUGGGUUGUUAAGUCAGUUGUGAAAGUUUGCGGCUCAACCGCAAAAUUGCAAUUGAUACUGGCAGUCUUGAGUACAGUUGAGGUAGGCGGAAUUCGUGGUGUAGCGGUGAAAUGCUUAGAUAUCACGAAGAACCCCGAUUGCGAAGGCAGCUUACUAAACUGUGACUGACAUUGAUGCUCGAAAGUGUGGGUAUCAAACAGGAUUAGAUACCCGGGUAGUC